rnacentral:rRNA from 1 species
UACAGAGACUGCAAGCGUUAUUCGGAUUCACUGGGCGUAAAGGGUGCGCAGGCGGCCAAGUGUGUGAGGCGUGAAAGCCCGGGGCUUAACCCCGGAAUUGCACCUCAAACUACAUGGCUAGAGCAUUGGAGAGGUAGCAGAAUUCAUGGUGUAGCAGUGAAAUGCGUAGAUAUCAUGAGGAAUACCAGAGGCGAAGGCGGCUACCUGGACAAUUGCUGACGCUCAGGCAACGAAAGCGUGGGGAGCAAAAGGGA